UACAGAGGUCCCGAGCGUUGUUCGGAUUCAUUGGGCGUAAAGGGUGCGUAGGUGGCGCUGUAAGUGGGGUGUGAAAUCCCGGGGCUUUAACUCCGGAACUGCAUUCCAUACUGCGGUGCUUUGAGGACUGGAGAGGAGACUGGAAUUUACGGUGUAGCAGUGAAAUGCGUAGAGAUCGUAAGGAAGACCAGUGGCGAAGGCGGGUCUCUGGACAGUUCCUGACACUGAGGCACGAAGGCCAGGGGAGCAAACGGGG
rnacentral:rRNA from 1 species